UGAUGGUAAAUACCGAGUGUCGACUGGAUUGAAGGAUGCAAAGUAUUGAUCCUGGGUGUGUCUGUGAGGGUGUUGCCAAAGGAGGUUAACAUUUGAGUCAGUGGGCUGGGGAAGGCAGAUCCAACCUCAAUCUGGUGCGCCAUCUAAUAAGCUGCCAAUGAAUAUAAAGCAGGCAGAAAAACAUAAGAAGGUGAGACUGGCCUAGCCUCCCAGCCUGCAUCUUUCUCCCAUGCUGAAUGCUUCCUGUCCUCGAACAUCAGACUCCAAGUUCUUUAGUUUUGAGACUCGGACUGGCUUCCUUGCUCCUCAAGCUUGCAGACAGCCUAUUGUGGGACCUUGUGAUCAUGGUCUUAACUCUGUCACCCAGGCUGGAGUGCAGUGGUGUGACCACAGCCACUGCAGGCUCAACCUCUGGGACUCAGGUGAUCCUCCCAUCUCAGCCUCCCAAGUAGCUGGGACUACAGGUUGCUUCUUCCAGAUCCCUUUUGAUCUACUUUCAGCUAUGGAUUCAUGAGAAUCAAGACUAAGCAGCCUGAAUUGAAGGAGUAACAGUAUCACCUAACAAUGAUUUUGCUGCCAUAGUAGCUGUUUGUAUACUGGCCAUAUGCCUAGGUAAAAUGAGGCCAGAUCACUCUCAAGAGUUUUCUAUCAGAGUUGGUGGUGAACUACUGCUCACGGAUAAUGACGAGAAACCCCAGCUGAGGAGGCAAAUAUACUCAAGGAAAGUAAUAGUUUCCAAAUGCCUGGCAGUGCCAGGAAGGGGCCAUGUCCAUGGACCACUAUGUAAGGAUAUCUCAGUCUCUAGUCCAGCGUGGUUUAUGGUGCCAAAUAAGUGCCAGGUGAACUCACUACAUCUGACAAAAUCUCAAGGAACCAAGUUUACCAGAUAAUAUUUAUGAUUAUGUGAAAAAGACUGAGGAAAUCACUCAAGUGAUCCAUCAUACAGCACCUCCAGUUCCAAAGAAUACUGACUUACUUCAGCUGUACUGGUCUGGAGCUGCACAUUCUUUUCAGACAACUCUUGUUCCAGUGACUCUUCUCCUGUAACAGAGCCUCCUUCUUAGAAACUAUGGCCUCCCGUUUCUUUAAGUCUGCUUCCAGCUCCUCUAAUUCUUGGCGUUGGUUCAGAACUUUCUCUACUUCUUCAUCUAACCAUUUCUUUUGCUCAUCCAAUUUCUACAUUAAAAUUAAAAAAAAAGUUACUUGUUUUUCCUUCUGCCAUAAAAAUUAUAUGGUAAUAAUAGAAUUUCAGAUUGGCUGAAAUCUCUUAAAUGAACAUUUAAAAACUAUCACUCAGAGUAACUCAGGUAGCCGUCUGAGAUCCUAAAGACAUCAGUGGUUCUAGUCAAGAUGUAGCUAUGUUGUUUUAUAAAGAAUUAAAAUUUACUCCCCAGAUAUGUUAAACAGUCUAGGAUUUUUUAGCCUGACGAAGAAAGGGCUGAUAAUUUUCUAUGCCUAUAUUAAGAACAUGCUGGAAUCUUUUACUCUGUUGUAGUGGUGCACAGUUCCAUCACAGCACUUACACUGGUGGCUGCCCUACGUAUCUAUCUCCCCAGCUUGAGCUCCUUGAUUGAUUGCAGGGGCUGUAGUUUUUACCCGUCUAUCCACAUGGCUGGUAUAUUGCCUGGGCCACAGUAGGCAUUCAAUAAAAUGUUAAAUGAAUGAGUGAAUGAAUGCCUGAUUCAGUCAGUCAAUGAAGUGAAUAAAUGAAUACACACAGUGGAAGACACAGAUGAUGGAGGAUGGAAGGAAAGCCAAUUUGCAUUGUAGCUUGUCAACCUCAAAUAAUUAUUUUUAAAAAAGAAAAAAAACAAAAAUAAAAAAUUGCUGAAAAGAUCUCCAAAACAA
rnacentral:lncRNA from 1 species